rnacentral:rRNA from 1 species
GAUGAACGCUGGCGGCGUGCCUAAUACAUGCAAGUCGAGCGAACAGACGAGGAGCUUGCUCCUUCGACGUUAGCGGCGGACGGGUGAGUAACACGUAGGUAACCUACCUAUAAGACUGGGAUAACUUCGGGAAACCGGAGCUAAUACCGGAUAAUAUUUCGAACCGCAUGGUUCGAUAGUGAAAGAUGGCUUUGCUAUCACUUAUAGAUGGACCUGCGCCGUAUUAGCUAGUUGGCAAGGUAACGGCUUACCAAGGCAACGAUACGUAGCCGACCUGAGAGGGUGAUCGGCCACACUGGAACUGAGACACGGUCCAGACUCCUACGGGAGGCAGCAGUAGGGAAUCUUCCGCAAUGGGCGAAAGCCUGACGGAGCAACGCCGCGUGAGUGAUGAAGGUCUUCGGAUCGUAAAACUCUGUUAUUAGGGAAGAACGAACGUGUAAGUAACUGUGCACGUCUUGACGGUACCUAAUCAGAAAGCCACGGCUAACUACGUG